AAUAUUGAAAAUUAUAUUUAUUAUAUUUUAAUAAUUUAUUUAAGCAUGUUAAAAAUUUAUUAUUGCCUGAUAAUAUUAAGAAGAAUAUGUUACAUAUGAAAUCUAUUCAAAGGUAUGACUUAAAAUAAUUUUAACUCGAGAGGCUGACUUUAAUUGCUUAGAAUUAACAUUUAAAAACUUAUAUGCCACAUGAAGGAAUUAAAAUAAUUUAUUGUACAUAUUUUGUGAACUGAUUAGAAGAAAUUGAAUAAGCUCAAAAUAUGAACGCUUUUGUGGAAUACAAUACAUCUUUGUGAGGUAUGCCUAUUUGUACAAUUGGAAGGAAUUAAAGUAUUAAAUAUAUUGAAAACAAGUUCUCUUUUGGGGAAUAGGAAACUAUGCGGCGGUCGCUGUGGAAAUAUAAAUGAAUUAGUUUCGGAGAUAUCCUAUUCUUAUGAUGACAUUUUAGACGGAUGGAAAAAUCGGGCAUUCAAAAAUAUAUAAUAAUCUUCACUUUUCCGCUGAAAUCUGAAAAUAUUUUUUCUCUAUUCUGCGCUCAUUACCGGGUAGGAAUAUAGUAAAGUAUUUAGAAGGGAAUUGUAUUUGUUUUAGGUUUUGCAAUGUCUGUGUUGCGGAAAUUGUACGCAGAAAGUACCGAACGUACAUAAACCUAUAAUCAUAACUGCUUCAAUGAUAUUGGGCAUGGAGAAUAGGUAUAAGGAGACCAAUCUGUAAUGCAUGGACUUCAUGAAAAACAGUCACUUUUCUGUUGGUAGAAGUUCGCACGCACGCAUGUGCAAAAUCAUACUUACGUAUAGUUCAAAACUUCCCGAUAGUGGCGUGCGAACUGCACUUAAAAAAAUUAUGGCCGCCUCCAUUGUUGUGUUUUGACAGGAUAUGAAUCUAAUAAGUGAGUGAGAAGAAGCUCUUUCGAUAACUCUUGAGACAGUAAGAUGUUCUUUGCGAAAUACAUUUUCGAGCGGAAGAUGUAGAAAAAUUUUUGAAACGAAAAUGCCGGAUGGAACAAUCCACCAGGAUGAUGAUUUCGAGAUCGGCGGCCAUAAUUUUUUUAAAUACGGUUGGCACUCCACGCUCGGGAAGUUUUAAACUACACAUAAGUGUGAUUUUGCACAUGUGUGUGCGUACUUCUAGC